UUUAGUCAUACGGUGCGUUCCAUUUACCAGACAGAGUUCUUAAACUUAAAGCAUUGGGCUUAACUAAACAUUAUAGAUCGAGAGUUUUUCUCAAUAUCACUCAGCGACUCGAAGAAACUUUUCACCGUUAAAGAAACAAUCAACUUACCGGUCACGAUAACUGGAGACGUUACGGGAGAGACUCAAUCGAAGGGUCAUUUUAACGAUGUCAGGAUUUGUCAUUGAAUGCCUCUCUAUUACUUCUUUUCGGUGAAUCUUCGACUUUAAAAAGGACUGAGUUCGGAUACGAGUCGACCGAUUGGCAUCUAAAUCCGUAUACGUACUUCGUUUGAGGUAAUCUGUGGACCUGUAACCAAUCCUCCAUCUCCCUGGCUACAAAGGUUUCUGGGGAUUUUGGAGAAAAUAGAGGAGCUGAGCUAUGGUGGAAAAGUUAGAAGCUUUCAGAAAUGCAAGUUUACCCUGAUUCCUUUAUUGUUUACAUAAGUCUCCACAAUUACUUUCCUAUAUUUACUCUCAAUUCUUGGACCUUUGACUUUCCUUACUUCAUUGCACCGCAGACUGCUGAGUGGUGCUCAGGUAUAUGCUACCAAUACAAUCCCUAUAUUCUGGACUGUGUUUUGAUGAGUUGUCGCUGUCACUGUGAGGCUACCAGCUACAUUGGUGACAAUAAGCUAAAGGUGGAUUCAAACCACCUGAAAGAGGCCAAAGAAAAAACUUGAAUCUUUUGGUCUGACAGUGGAUUUGAUGGGUGGGUUUGACAAAUGGCAUGAGUGUUUCUAGAGCUUGAAAACCCAUCUAAUCUGAAGUAUACUAGGACCUAAGGAGUCUAACGUUAUCAUUGCACCAGUUUACAUUCUAAAGAAAAUGUUUUAAGAUACCUUAAUCCAAAGAUCAUGCCUCUAUAGUAGUGGAAUGUGUCGGACAGACUCUUUGGUUGAACCUAGAUGCGUCUUUUUACUUAUUCUAUUCCUUAAAGAAUGUAAUUUAAUUUUUUCCUUUGUGUGAUUCUAAUAUUUCUACGUUCAUGCGAUCGUUUUGAAGGAUUGAGUUCAUAAGUCUGUGAUUACAUUCAUGCGAUCUUCUUGAAGGUAGUACGUUCUCUGUCUCUGUUAGUAAUAUAUACUAUCUCCAACGACUAUUUUACUUUGGUCCAUUGUUGUAGACAGAUUGAGGUGACAAACGCGGCCAUAGCAUCGUUGGAAAAAAAAUGCGGGAGGGAAGAUAGCCACAUUGCAGCUGGUGCACAUGGAGUGUAAUUACCUUAUUGUUUACUACUUCAAGAAGCUUCUCGGGAAGUAAGAUAGCCACGUUGCAGCUGGUGGACAUGGAGGGCAAUUAACUUACUGUUGAUUUCUUCAAGAAGCUUCUACAGCUUGGAGAAUGCCCACUGCUUUGUUCGGUUGUAGUCGGUGGUUCAGACCCGGAGGAAACUUCUAUGUAAUUUAAUUUUUGUGAGAUGAUCUACCCGGGAAGACAUCAUGCCGUAUUUAUUUUACUACAACAACACAGUUUGUUCUGAUGACUCUUUUCUUUGUCUGCGCUUUUGACCAUUAAUUACCUUAUAUGCAUAUGCUCCAACAUAUCAACGAUAUGUUAUCUAGA